rnacentral:piRNA from 1 species
UGUGAGUGAAUGGAGGGUUGUUAAGCCAC